rnacentral:rRNA from 1 species
UACGUAGGUGGCAAGCGUUGUCCGGAUUUAUUGGGUUUAAAGGGUGCGUAGGCGGUCUAUUAAGUCAGUGGUGAAAUACUCCAGCUCAACUGGAGGGGUGCCAUUGAUACUGAUGGACUUGAGUCAAGUCGAGGUAGGCGGAAUUGACGGUGUAGCGGUGAAAUGCUUAGAUAUCGUCAAGAACACCAAUAGUGAAGACAGCUUACUAGGCUUAAACUGACGCUGAGGCACGAAAGUGUGGGGAGCGAACAGG